rnacentral:rRNA from 1 species
GUGUCAGCCGCCGCGGUAAUACGGAGGAGGCAAGCGUUAUCCGGAAUUAUUGGGCGUAAAGCGUCCGCAGGUGGUUUAGAAAGUCUGCUGUUAAAGCGUGUAGCUCAACUACAUACAGGCAGUGGAAACUAUUAGACUAGAGUAUGUUAGGGGUAGAGGGAAUUCCCAGUGUAGCGGUGAAAUGCGUAGAGAUUGGGAAGAACACCGGUGGCGAAAGCGCUCUGCUAGGCCGAAACUGACACUGAGGGACGAAAGCUAGGGGAGCGAAAGUGAUUAGAUACCCCUGUAGUCCUAGCUGUAAACGAUGGAGACUAGGUGUGGCCUGUAUCGACCCGGGCCGUGCCGGAGCUAACGCGUUAAGUCUCCCGCCUGGGGAGUACGCACGCAAGUGUGAAACUCAAAUGAAUUGGCGGGG